GUGUGUGUAGCUCAGUGGCAGAGCAUGUGCUUAGCAUGCACGAGGUCCUGGCUUCAAUCCCCAGUCCCUCCA
rnacentral:tRNA from 1 species